rnacentral:rRNA from 1 species
AGCCGUCAGGCUGAACCAGCAACUUGAGGGAAUGUAUAGCUUAAGCUAGCUAUAUUUGGUUUAAUUAAUUAACAUUUUUUGUUUAUUUAAUUGAUUUAAGGUUAGUGCAAGCUACUAACAAAUAUGGGAUUGAUUUUGUCAAAUAAAAUUCUAGAUAGAUUACUGAUUAUGACUAUUUUCUAUCUAUAUGUCUUGACCAAAUUACGUGCCAGCAGUCGCGGAAAUACGUAGAAGACUAGUGUUAUUCAUCUUUAGUAGGUUUAAAGGGUACCUAGACGGUAAAAUUAGUCCAAAAUAGGAAACGGUUUUACUAGAGUUAUAUAUAAGGAGGUGAGUAUUUGAGGAGUAGAGUUGAAAUUCUUUGAUACCUUGAGGACUGGUAAAGGCGAAAGCAACCUUUUAUCUAAUAACUGACGUUGAGGGACGAAGGCUUGGGGAACAAACAGGAUUAGAUACCCUAGUAGUCCAAGCAGAAAAUUAUGAAUGCCAUAGAUUAGAUAUAUAUUUAGUCUAUUAAUGAAAGUGUAAGCAUUCCACCUCAAGAGUAAUGUGGCAACGCAGGAACUGAAAUCAUUAGACCGUUUCUGAAACCAGUAGUGAAGUAUGUUAUUUAAUUCGUAGUUACGCGAAAAACCUUACCACAAUUUGUAUAGUAUCAAAUGAUACUACAAGUGUUGCACGGCUGUCUUCAGUUAAUGUCGUGAGAUAUUGGUUAACUCCAUUAAAUUAACGUAAACCCUUGCUUUAUUUGUAUAUUGAUAUAUAAAGCAGAACAACCAUCUAUAAUGGUUUUGAUAAUAGGGACCAAGACAAGUCAUCAUGGCCUAAAUA